UACUCUGAUUCAGUUCAUUCAUGGAAGCUACUUAUGUAGUAGUCCGUAGUAUUCUACAGUAUAUCGAUUCCUUCGAAGUGAUACAUACAUAUGAUGCUGUGAUGAAGAAGCAACACGUACGACAUAUAUGAAGAUAGGAUGGUGUCGAUAAGAAAUUAUGGUAGAGAAGUCGUCGAUGUUCUGUGAACUCAACGGAAGAAAUUGCAGUGGAAUUAAUCAGUUCGAUCAAGGAACACGAUGAACAUAAGAUGGUGUCGCUAAGAAAUUAUGGCAGAGAAAUAGUCAUCUUGUCUGACCAGCUCAAAAGCCCAGACACUACCCGUCGCUCGCGUCGCUCUCGGGCGGCUCGGGUGAACCCUAGCCGCCGCCACCCCCCGACCAGCCCUUCCUCCACCUGCCCCUCGCCGUCGCCGGAAGAAGCCGCCGGGCAAAGCCCGUGCGGCGGACGGUGGCGGCGGGGCGUUUUCUUCCUCGGCGGCGUCUCACGGCUUGGUGCGCGGCGGCGGCCGGCGGCGCGUGCUCCUGCGGCGGUUGGGAGAGCUCCUGCGGCGACCGGCGGCACGGGCUACUGCGACAUCGGGGCGUGCUCCUGCGCAGGCGCGGUGGUGAGUGCGGCAUUCCCGGGCGCUUCUUCUCCCCGGCUGCGCGGAUCUGGGCGCUCGCAGCGGCGUUCUGCCUUUGUGGCGUCGUGGUGGCACGGCUCGGCGGUGCUGGUGCGGUGCUCUCGGGCUGCUCGGAUGGCUUAGAGGUGAGGUGGUGCGGAGCUCUGCGGAUCUGCUCGAGGGCGCUCAGCCAUGGUGGCCCCGCUGCCGGAUCCGGGCAGGUUCGGGCCUCGCGGGUGGAAGGUGGUUCAGCCGGGUUGCGGUUGGUGGUUGGUGGUGUGAUGCAGUGAUGGGCGAAAGCCAUGCCUCUGGUCGCCGACCAGAGCUAGCAACGGUGACGUCCGCGGGCGCCAUCGCUUUCUUCAAGGCGUUGCUGUUGUGGUGCUGUCCUCUCCAACCAUCCCCGAUGUGAGCUCCUGGGAAAACCUCAGGUUCAGGCUUUUCUGGACCGGAUGAUGGUGGCGCUCGGCGUCGUUCCCCAUAUUAAUGGCAUCGUCUUUGGAGUUGACACCGGCUGGAGGGACCGGGGGUCGGAGGCUUGUGGAUGUGUUGCGAUUUGUGCGGCGACGACAAUGGUGACGAGGAAAGCAGGGUCUCAGCGUGGUCUUCGGCGUCGACCGUCUGUGGUCUUUUGUGUUUGUCCUUGCAGCGAUCUAUGUGGAAGCGAUGGUGCCAGAGCUCUAACUUUGCAGAGUUUCCUUCUGUGUCUGCUUGUAGCGAAGUCGGAGUCGCCGGCCGGGGGUGCUGUUGUUGAUGACGAUGACGCUGUGAUGGACGCGUUGUGGGCAUCUUGCGGUUUGGUGGCGAUGGUGCCUCGUGGAAGGUGGUUCGAUGUUCGGCGAUCUACAACGCAAGACUUGCCUUUCUUGCUGUCAAAGCUUGUCCUCAAAAUCGGAGCUGCCUUGUCCUCGACGUGUGGGGCGACUGUUUGGCAUAGGCCGACGUGGGCUUUAGGCGGCUGUCGUAGUGGGGGCUUUGUUUGCGGUCAUUUGCGGUGAAGUCGGAGUCGCCAAUUCGAAGAGUGAUGUGUGAUGACGAUGACACCUACGAACAACCUCGACGACGGUCUUCCCCCUCGAUAGUUCGUGUGGAGUGCGUGUGGUAGCCAGGUCGGCUUGUGGUGUCCUAUGAGCUGUCAUCUUUGACUGCUCUUGUGAUUGUUGUAACGGUUUUUGCUCGGUUUUCCGUUAAUUAACCGGGCAUCGAAACUUCUUCUUAAUUAAUGAGACGAGGCAAAGCUUUUGCCUCCGUUUUGAAAAAAAAA